rnacentral:rRNA from 1 species
CCUACGGGUGGCAGCAGUGAGGAAUAUUGGGCAAUGGGCGCAAGCCUGACCCAGCAACGCCGCGUGAAGGAAGAAGGCCUUCGGGUUGUAAACUUCUUUUUUCAGGGACGAAACAAGUGACGGUACCUGACGCAUAAGCCGCGGCUAACUACGUGCCAGCAGCCGCGGUAAUACGUAGGGGGCAAGCGUUAUCCGGAAUGACUGGGUGAAAAGGGUGUGUAGGGGGUUUAGCAAGUUAGGUGUGAAAAGCACGGGCUCAACCUGUGGACUGCAGUUGAAACUGUAGUUCUUGAGUGCAGGAGAGGCAGGCGGAAUUCCUAGUGUAGCGGUGAAAUGCGUAGAUAUUAGGAGGAACACCAGUGGCGAAGGCGGUCUGCUGGACAGCAACUGACGCUGAGGCGCGAAAGCGUGGGGAGCAAACAGGAUUAGAUACCCUGGUAGUC